rnacentral:rRNA from 1 species
UAAAUACUUUAAAAUUAAAAAAUUUGGCGGUGAUUUAAUCUUAUUAGAGGAAUUUGUUUCUUAAUCGAUAAACCACGAAGAAUUUUACUUACUUUUGUUAAUCAGUCUGUAUACCGUCAUUACCAGGUAAUUCUCAAAGGAUAAAAUUUCUGAAAUUAAUUCUUUAGUAAAAUUAGAUCAAGGUGCAGCUUAUAAGUAAGUUGAAAUGAAUUACAAUAAAUUAUUUUAAACGGAAUUAGAAAUGAAAUUUUCUGAUGAAGGAGGAUUUAAUUGUAUUAUAAGUUUAAUAAGCUAAUGAGAAAUAAGCUCUAAAUUGUGUACAUAUCGCCCGUCGCUUCCUUUUAUAGAGGGAAUAAGUCGUAACAUAGUAGAUAUACUGGAAAGUGUAUCUAGAAAUAAU